GCAUCUAUGGCUAAAUGGUUAAAGCGCCAAACUCAUAAUUGCAGAGUUUGUAGGUUUAAUUCUUACUGGAUGCA